CGUACGCAAUACUCACAAACCCCUCAUCCUGGAGAAGUUCACUGUGAAAGUAGAAGAAAAUCUCACUCUUUCUUUCUAAACACCGAAAAUCCUCCCAGCUCACCAAUGGAUCCACUCUCAGCACUCCGAGACUUCACCAUCCGGGGUGACCUAGACAAAAUCAUCCGCGUCAACGGCGAAUUCCGCUUCGGCAACGAAUACACCUUCCCUUGCUCAACUAAAACCGCUUACCGUUCCAAACAAGGCAAUCUCUACACGCUAGAAACCCUAGUUUACUGCAUCCAAAACACCAAAAUCAAGUUCACCAAUUACCUCCAAGACGCCCUCGCUCUCGGCAUCCCCCCUGUCACUUACAUCGACUGGAAACCCGUCAAAGAAUACCUCUCCGGAAAACUCUCUUCUACCGACUCCAUAGUUUUCCCUCUCCCUCAAGAAUCUCAAAACCCUAAUCUUAAUUACCGCCCCGAUGAUCCCAUGCUUCUUGAUUCUCGCAUCGAUGAUUCCGCCGCCGCUGAUAAGUUGAACAAUGGGAAUGAGGGAGUUGAAAAUCACGUGUCUUUGAUUUACGCCAACGAGAGGCCGUUGAAGGAUAGGGAGUCGUUGUUGGAGUGUAAGAAUAGGGAUUUUUAUGGGGUUUUGGUUGCUUCCACGCGCCGUGAAGAGGAGAGGCAUAAAUUUGAGAGUCAACAGAGGAAAGAUGGGUUAGUGGCGAAGAGUAGGUUGAUGGGAGCUGAUGAGAGAGGAAUUGGGUAUGGUGGUGAUGAGUUGGGCUAUGAUUCAGCUGCCAAGCCCAAAAUGCAUUUGAAAGGAGGGAAAAUUGGGGAAGGGGUGCCCAUAAUUUUGGUGCCAAGUGCGUUUCAGACUUUGAUUACGAUUUAUAACGUGAAGGAAUUUUUGGAAGAUGGGAUUUUCAUACCGACGGAUGUGAAGGCUAAGCAGAUGAAAGGGCCGAAACCGGAAUGUGUUACAGUGCAGAAGAAGUUUAGCACUGAUAGGAAUAGAGUGAUGACGGCCUAUGAGGUGCGGGAUAAGCCAUCUGCACUCAAGGGUGAUGACUGGGAUAGGGUUGUGGCAGUUUUUGUGCUGGGGAAGGAGUGGCAAUUCAAGGACUGGCCCUUUAAGGAUCAUGUUGAGAUAUUUAAUAAAAUUAUUGGAUUUUUCAUGCGGUUUGAAGAUGAUAGUGUGGAGUCUGCUAAGAUUGUGAAGCAGUGGAAUGUAAAGAUUAUCUCGAUCAGCAAGAACAAGAGGCACCAGGAUAGGGCUGCAGCGUUGGAGGUAUGGGACCGACUAGAAGAAUUUGUGCGCUCGCAAUCACACACUUGAAGUGUGCAGAUUUUCAGAAGUGUGUCAAUGGAAACCAUUUCGUAACCAGCUACAAGCCAUUCAAAGUGCAGAGGCAUCGUGGAAGGAUGGAAAGCAUGCCAUGGCUGAAUAUGUGGAUGUCAUGCUCUUCUGUUGGUUUCAUGUUGUGCAAGUUAACUUCCAGUGGUUGGUUGCAGCUGCGAGCUGGAGACUUUGGUUUUUGCAUGAGUGGAUCUGAUAAUUUGUAAGACAGAAUUUACAACACAAGGUUGAACCAUAUGAAGCGGCAAAGAGAAGGAAGAACAGUAUAGAGAUUGAGAAAUCCAUGGAGCUUCCGCCUGAUGUUCCAUCUUUUUGUGUUGAUGGUACAGUUUUGGAUGCAGUUCCUACACCAGUGAAUGUCACCUUGAGCAAGUUAAUACCAAAACAGAGUCUAACAUGAUGAAAAUCCUUUUAUGAGGAUCUAUUGGUGUACAAGCAUAGAAUAACUUGAUCAACAAUAAGCUUUGUUUUCGUAGCGAAUAAUCAUAUGCAAUAAAAAAAGUUCGGUGUAAAGAGACACCGACUUGUUUAGA